ensembl:misc_RNA Metazoa_SRP Metazoan signal recognition particle RNA
GCUAGGCGUGGUGGCGGGCACCUGUAAUCCCAGCUACUUGGGAGGCUGAGGUGGGAGAAUCGCUUGAACCCAGGAGGUGGGGGUUGCAGUGAGCCGAGAUCACACCACUGCACUCCAGCCUGGGUGACAGAGUGAGACCCCAUUUCAA